AAAAGCACUUACUGAGCGAUUACGGAGACCAUCAGAAAAGGGCAAGGUCUGGGGACAGGUUCCCAACCCCAGCAUCGGGCUGCAGAGCACCUGGGAAAUGCGCACGGGACCCGAGCCACGGGCACUAUUCUCCACCCCAGCCCAUGGCAUACGGCUGACGAACCUCUUGUUAUCAGUAUGAACCCCAGAGUUACUGGAUAACAGGUUUUCC
rnacentral:lncRNA from 1 species